rnacentral:rRNA from 1 species
GAGUAUCAAUUGGAGGGCAAGUCUGGUGCCAGCAGCCGCGGUAAUUCCAGCUCCAAUAGCGUAUAUUAAACUUGUUGCAGUUAAAAAGCUCGUAGUUGAAUUUCUGCUGCAUCGUGGUUCUUCGCUAUGUCGAGUGAUCUUCGNUGUGGCUUAGUUGGGGCAUGUUUUCAUGACUCGACGUUUACUUUGAGAAAAUUAGAGUGCUUCAAGCAGGCUUUUGCCUUGAAUACUUUAGCAUGGAAUAAUGGAGUAGGACUUUGGUUCUAUUUUGUUGGUUUUAGGAGCCGGAGUAAUGGUUAAUAGGAACAGUUGGGGGCAUUCGUAUUUGACUGUCAGAGGUGAAAUUCUU